UGUGGCCCUAUUAAAUUGUUCUGAAACCAAAUUACUGUCCUCAAGGUUGUUGUUUACGCACACAUUCUCAUUUGUUCUUGUUCUGCUUGAACCAGUGGGUGGGUGAAUUCACCCCACACACACACACACACACACACACACCAUAAUCACCCCAUCCUCUGAACAUAUAAACCCACCCCAUCUUUAUGUCUACAAAUACUCAAUGCUCACUGCAGACCAACAGAGGACAGCAUCCCUGAGACCAAACAGAAGCCUUCCUUCUGCACACCAGUUCCCGAAUAAGCUACUGAGAAGAUGUUGUCACACAAGUGUUUUCUGCCUAUCUUGGCUCUGUGCCUUUUAAUGGACGAGGUGUAUUCAUUCCUGCUGCCUGACAGGCUACAAUUAACCAGAAGCAGCCACAGGUCACGUCGAGAUCUCUCUUCUCACCUGUCAGAGCUUUCGGAUCUGGUAGAGCUCAUUCCCGAUAACGGCGGGGAAAUGACCCGUGACUGGGAGCCUAACCCAGCUCGAUCGUCGACCGUCUUCUCUGUCCCUGUGGAACGCAUUUCAACACCUCACACCAACACACAACACCACAGGAAUAAAGAC